GGUUCUAAUGGUACUAAUAACGGUUCACAAAAACUAUUCAAUGUGUUAUUCCACGGGUCGCAACCCUUAGCCGGAAUAAAGUCAAUCUCAACGGUUGCGUCGUUUCGUUUUUUUGAUUCAGCGCUCCACCGAAAUCAAGGGACGCAACCCUUCGCAGAAAUCCCGACAGGACUUAUAGUUGAUAUCAGAUGGUGUGGAUAAUCGAACAACCUGCGUUUUUCUGCAAGUCUUCAUCCUGCCAUGGCCAUAUCAAUUAAAUUGCAGGGCGAACAAAAAUGGUGAGGUAAAGGUAGAGAAUUACAGGCAAUGAUUGGAUGAUUUUGGUGUACACUACGGUUUCGAUUUUGGUUGUUCGCUGUGAAAGAUUUUCGAUACCUCGAUUUAUU
rnacentral:lncRNA from 1 species